UACGUAGGGUGCGAGCGUUAAUCGGAAUUACUGGGCGUAAAGUGUGCGCAGGCGGCCGCGCAAGUCGAGUGUGAAAGCCCCGAGCUUAACUUGGGAAUUGCGCUCGAAACUACGUGGCUGGAGUGUGGCAGAGGAAGGUGGAAUUCCACGUGUAGCGGUGAAAUGCGUAGAGAUGCGGAGGAACACCGAUGGCGAAGGCAGCCCCCUGGGCUAACACUGACGCUCAGGCACGAAAGCGUGGGGAGCAAACAGG
rnacentral:rRNA from 1 species